UACAGAGGCGGCGAGCGUUGUUCGGAUUUACUGGGCGUAAAGGGUGCGUAGGCGGUCUCGCGUGUCGGAUGUGAAAUCUCAUCACUCAACGAUGGAAUGGCAUUCGAAACUGCGAGGCUUGAGUGCAGGAGGGGAGAGCAGAAUUCUCGGUGUAGCGGUGAAAUGCGUAGAUAUCGAGAGGAAUACCGGUGGCGAAGGCGGCUCUCUGGACUGCUACUGACGCUGAGGCACGAAAGCUGGGGGAGCAAACAGG
rnacentral:rRNA from 1 species